rnacentral:rRNA from 1 species
GAUGAACGCUGGCGGCGUGCUUAACACAUGCAAGUCGAACGGAAAGGCUCCUGCUUGCAGGGGUACUCGAGUGGCGAACGGGUGAGUAACACGUGGGUGAUCUGCCCUGCACUUCGGGAUAAGCCUGGGAAACUGGGUCUAAUACCGGAUAGGACGAUGGUUUGGAUGCCAUUGUGGAAAGUUUUUUCGGUGUGGGAUGAGCUCGCGGCCUAUCAGCUUGUUGGUGGGGUAAUGGCCUACCAAGGCGUCGACGGGUAGCCGGCCUGAGAGGGUGUACGGCCACAUUGGGACUGAGAUACGGCCCAGACUCCUACGGGAGGCAGCAGUGGGGAAUAUUGCACAAUGGGCGCAAGCCUGAUGCAGCGACGCCGCGUGGGGGAUGACGGCCUUCGGGUUGUAAACUCCUUUCGCUAGGGACGAAGCGCAAGUGACGGUACCUGGAGAAGAAGCACCGGCUAACUACGAG